rnacentral:misc_RNA from 1 species
GAUGAAGAACGUAGCAAAAUGCGAUAAGUAAUGUGAAUUGCAGAAUUCAGUGAAUCAUCGAAUCUUUGAACGCACAUUGCGCCCGCUGGUAUUCCGGCGGGCAUGCCUGUUCGAGCGUCAUUUCAACCCUCAAGCCCCCGGGUUUGGUGUUGGGGAUCGGCUCUGCCCUUCUGGGCGGUGCCGCCCCCGAAAUACAUUGGCGGUCUCGCUGCAGCCUCCAUUGCGUAGCAGCUAACACCUCGCAACUGGAACGCGGCGCGGCCAUGCCGUAAAACCCCAACUUCUGAAUGUUGACCUCGGAUCAGGUAGGAAUACCCGCUGAACUUAAGCAUAUCAAUAAGCGGAGGA